CUUGUUCUCGACCAAUCAGAACAUUGAAUGCUCGGUGAAUAACUCCCAUUUGAUUUUACAGGCACAUGUUUGCUGCGUGCGCGAAUGCACCAACGAGCUUUGCCUUUGGCACAUUUCAUUUGGUUAUUUGUAAUAUAGAUAAAUCAGUCUAUGCGGUUAUUGCUAAACGGCCAACGUCGCGUUUUGAAUUAAGUCUAUGUAUAAAUGCUAAUUAUUUGACAUUCUCAUUCGUUUUCCUGUUCCAUUAUGCCAUCUGGUGGAUAAAGAUGAGGAUUACAUAGAGAUAAAUAAAUGAGGAUCGAUUUUUACUUUGUGUUUAAAGAGUCAUGUGUCUUCAGUCUAUCAAAGUUUAAGUAAAUAAUGAACUAUUUUUAUCUAAAUUAAGUCAAAAAAGUUAACCUUUAUUGACUCAAUGUGUUACACAAGGAAUUUCAGGGUAAAGGUUCUGAGAGGCACUUCUGUGUAGUUCAGAUUACUUUCGGUCCACAAAUCUAAGGUUGAUGGGUGCUCCUGGACAAAGCAGGCCAUGAGUCUUGGCACGCACAUCAGCGGUCUGGGAAGACACCUCAAUGUGGAACUUCUGCAGGAGCUGUGAAUGAGGAGAACAUCAGUACACCAUUAGACAAGGGAAUUUGAAUUCACAUAUAUAACAGUAGUAUGUGUCUUUAUUGCAACAAUCUGUAGAACAAUAGUACCGUUAUGUUGUGGAUCAUGCUUGAUGCUGACUUUUGUGACACAUAUACAAACACGCACCUGUGUGAGAGCCAGAUGCAUCUCGAGCUCGGCUAUUCUCCUCCCGAUGCAACUGCGGAUGCCGUAGCCGAACGGGAUGGAGCCGAAGUUGUCGACUCGGUCAGAGGCAUCCUUGCGGAUCCAGCGAUCUGGACGGAAUUCUCCGGGACGGGGGAAGUUCUCCUCAUCCAUUGAGGGAUGAAAUAGCCGCCGAUGAUCAGAUCAUCCUGUGUAACACGUCCAUUUCCAGGGAGAACCGGGAAAAGCCUGCAUGUGUAAAAGAGAAGGAGGGAAGCGUUUAUGCAACAACACCAGACAUUCUCCAGAUCUCUUUAUUUCUUGAUUACUGUAUUUGUAUCAUGAACUCAAUAAACAUUGCAAUAAAUAACCAGAAUUUUCAUUUUU